UCCAGCCAUGCCCGUUGUAGCACACAUC
rnacentral:piRNA from 1 species